CUCUCUGAUCUGACUAACCUCUUUCAUUCUUUGUCCUAUGUUAUAUGGCUUAGACCAAAGCCUGACACAUUUAACCAAUUUAUAAAUAUUAAAUGCAGAAGGCAUAUUCUGUCAGUUCCUGGAAACAUCAAAGAAGCUGGAAGGGGAAUGGAAAUUGGAUGGCACUUUGUGGAGGUCACUUUGCUGACAGUCAAGUAUUCAAGGGAUGAGGGAGAAGUUUCAUCUAUAUGAUAUGCCUGCCCGACCUGGAGAACUUGGCGUUAAAGGAAAUGUGUUUAUCAAAUGUGUCAUCUUAUCCUUGGAAGGCAACUGAGGAUCAGAGCAAAGCUGCCUUGAAUUGUUUCAUCGAGUUAUUCCGUUGCAGUUACAUGGAACACCAAAAAACGUCAAGAAGCCUAAAACAUGGAAACUUGUUUAAUUUUCUCAAACAAUGGCACUAACUAAAGCAAAUGAAAUUUUGACAGAAGAAAGAAGCAAUUGUUUAGCCUUGUCAUGUCCUCACAGUUAACAACACAAAGGGUAUAUUCACAGUGCAAAGAUACUUUCCCUUUCUCUCAAAAUAGGAGACUACGUAUUAUAAGAUAUUUCACAGACGUCCUUCCUCAUAGAACUCUGUAAACUUUACUAGCUCAAGAACAAAAUCAAAGUUUCAAUUCACGGGACUCAUUCAUCUUGCAUUUUAGGUAUUCUAAUGGUAUAUUUGUACUGUGUGUUGCAACCUAUAGAAUAAAUGUACUUCUUCUUCA